rnacentral:rRNA from 1 species
CCUACGGGAGGCUGCAGUGGGGAAUAUUGGGCAAUGGGCGCAAGCCUGACCCAGCAACGUCGCGUGAAGGAAGAAGGCUUUCGGGUUGUUAACUUCCUUUUUGCGGGACGAAGAAAGUGACGGUACCUCCGCAUUAAGCCACGGCUAACUACGAGCCAGCACCCGCGGUAAUACGUAGGUGGCACGCGUUUUCCGGAGUUCUUGGGGGUAAAGGGAUUGUAGGGGGGGAAGCAAAGCAGAUGUGAAAACUCAGGGGUCAACCCUGAGCCUGCAUUUGAAACUGUUUGGCUUGAGUGCUGGAGAGGCAAGCGGAAUGCCGUGGGUAGCGGGGAAAUGCGUAGAUAUACGGAGGAACACCAGGUGCGAAGGCGGAUUGCUGGACGGUAACUGACGCUGAGGCGCGAAAGCGUGGGGAGCAAACAGGAUUAGAUACCCGUGUAGUG